rnacentral:rRNA from 1 species
CUGCAGCUCAAGUGGUAGCCGCUAUUAUUGGGCCUAAAACGUUCGUAGCCGGUUUAGUAAAUGCUUGGAUAAAUUGUGUCGCUUAACGAUACGAAUACCGGGUAGACUGCUAAACUUGGGACCGGGAGAGGCUAGAGGUACUCCUGGGGUAGAGGUGAAAUUCUGUAAUCCUGGGGGGACCACCAGUGGCGAAGGCGUCUAGCUAGAACGGGUCUGACGGUGAGGGACGAAGCCCUGGGGCGCAAACCGGAUUAGAUACCCGAGUAGUCC